rnacentral:rRNA from 1 species
AGUGAACGCUGGCGGCAGGCCUAAUACAUGCAAGUCGAACGGCAGCACAGCAGAGCUUGCUCUGUGGGUGGCGAGUGGCGGACGGGUGAGGAAUACAUGGGAAUCUGCCCAGUCGUGGGGGAUAACGUAUGGAAACGUACGCUAAUACCGCAUGCGCCCUAUGGGGGAAAGCCGGGGACCGCAAGGCCUGGCGCGAUUGGAUGAGCCCAUGUUCGAUUAGCUAGUUGGCGGGGUAAAGGCCCACCAAGGCGACGAUCGAUAGCUGGUCUGAGAGGAUGAUCAGCCACACUGGAACUGAGACACGGUCCAGACUCCUACGGGAGGCAGCAGUAGGGAAUAUUGGACAAUGGGGGCAACCCUGAUCCAGCCAUGCCGCGUGAGUGAAGAAGGCCCUCGGGUUGUAAAGCUCUUUUGUCCGGAAAGAAAAGCAAUCGGUUAAUACCCGGUUGUCCUGACGGUACCGGAAGAAUAAGCACCGGCUAACUUCGUGCC